GCAUCGAAUGGCUUGACACAAAGUCACCUUCAUCAGUUGUUUAUGUGUCUUUCGGUAGUAUCGUCCAAUUGAAGCAAGAUCAAUGGAACGAGAUCGCUGAUGGGUUAUUGAAUUCGGGCGUCUCCUUCUUGUUAGUUAUGAAACCAGCCCACAAAGGUGCAGGACAUGACCUCCCUGUUCUGCCAGAUGGGUUCUCGAAGAAAGCAGGAGACAGGGGCAGGGUGGUGCAAUGGAGUCCUCAAGAGAAGGUUUUAGCUCACCCAUCAGUUGCGUGCUUUGUAACACAUUGUGGGUGGAACUCUACUAUGGAAGCACUCACAUCAGGCAUGCCAGUGGUGGCUUUCCCUCAAUUGGGUGAUCAAGUAACUAAUGCAAAAUAUCUGGUCGACAUCUUUAAGGUUGGUGUGAGAAUGAGCCGCGGACAAGCAGAGAACAAACUGAUUACUCGUGAUGAGAUAGAGAAAUGCUUGUUGGAGGCCACAGCGGGACCUAAGGCAGUGGAAAUGAAGGAGAAUGCAAUGAAAUGGAAGGAGGCAGCGGAGGCAGCAGUGGCUGAGGGUGGUUCCUCCGACUGGAAUAUACGAUAUUUUACGGACGAUAUUGUAAAAGCGAAUGAGUCUGAGAUUGCUGGGAAGUGCAUUGGUUCUAAUGAGUUUCCAGUGUCGGUACGUAGUGGUGAAGUCCAGCGAGGAAGUGGUUGAACUGGUGGGGUCAUCGGCAUGAGGAGAUUUGCUAUAUAUGCAGUUAAUAUGGAACGGGUUUAAUCCAGUACUGUUAGUAUGAUGAAAUUAAUUACUCUUGUUAUGUAGUUGUCUACUCUUUACUUCUUUUAAUUAGCUAUUAAUAACAUACAGAUGCCAUAAAAAGGCCAUAUGUAUGGUUGUUGUUAAUUUGCAAGUAUCUAAUUAAUAAGAAUUUGAUCUUGGGCUUUGACCUACUCAGUUCUGGUGGCCAACAAUGGCAUUGUUAUAUUUUCCGGCAAGAGUUAAACCAUAAAAUUAGCACGAUUUCUUUUUAGUUAGUCAUGAUCAAAGAUACAGCACACAGAACCUCAACUACACAUUCAUUUAAUUUAAUUAGAAAAGGAGCCUAACCCACCGAGCAGAACGUGUUCCUUCUUCUCAAGCCACGAGACGGUCCUCGUCGCCAUCUCCUCAUGCUGUGACUCGUUCUGGUCAACCUGCUCACCAGCAGCUUUGGCCUAAACUUUGUUAUGCUAACUCUCUGUCUACACUUCCUGUUUUAGACUUUUAGUUGGACUUGAAAUUGAGCAUUUGAUUUCAUCUAAUUUGGUCUGGAUCUGUUACUUCAUGUUUAACCAAGCUUUUAGACAUUUGAAUUAUGGAUGUGCUUUGAAAGUACUGCUGGAGGAUCCGUGGAGAUGUUCCAUUAUGGAUGCUUAGUGAGAUGCAACGAGAAUUAUGAAAUCAUUGCUGAUGAUACAGAAGAUGCAGACAGUACUUUUGUUUUUUCGGAUACUGCUAGCUACUACUACGGUCCUUAAUGACACUACCUGGAAGGAGUUUUCCUGCAUUGAACAAACAAUGGCCUGGUUUUGAUUUUGCUUUUUCCAGCAUUCUUGUGUUUCAUGGUUGAACAAGUAUGCUGCUUCGAUUCUUUGUCUUUCGUAGAUCCUUGGUCUCAGCAUAUUUGUUCUGGUUUUCUUGUAUUUCUAUUAUAAGAUGUUUUAAUACAUUCUAUUGCCUGUCCAAAAACAAUUCUGGCACUGCUCAGUGCUAGUCUCGAAAAAGAAAAAAUAUGAAGCUUUUUAUCGAGCUAAUAAUAAUCGCUACGGUAUUUGAGUUUGGUCAUAGAACCUUCAACAAAUAAUAUUUUUUUCGUUUGGUGAAAAAAAUAAAAUCAAUGCCUCUUUUUUUCUCGUUGAACUAUAGAUCUCGUUCAAUUAAAUCUUUCCAUUGUGUUUACAUUCUUUUCAAUCAGAUCCUUUUUCUAAAUUGGGAAUAAGACUUUCAUCUUCAUUUUAAUUAUUUUUUUAGCCAAAUAGCACCUUAAUGUGUCUAAUUUUUUAACCAUUUAAUUUUAUUUUUUUAGCCAAAAAGCCUGUUAUCUAAUUUUAUUUCAAUAUAUUAGUGUUAGUUAAUGUAUUUAAUGUGCUUUUUCAUAGAGUUUUUAAUCGAAUGAUGGUAUCAUAAGAGCAAUGAAAACAUGUUACUAACACACUUGAUGUUUUGUUAAAAAAAAACCACCAAAAAAAAGUAACAGUACCUCAAAAUUAAACAAAAAAGAAGCUGGAAACAUUAAUUAAUUAAUUAUAUAUACCUGCUAGCUAGAUAGAAGUUUCUAUGUUGUUAUGAUAAAAAUAAUGAAUUAAAAAAUAAUAAUAAAUAAAUAUUAUUUUAAUAUAUUUUCAAAUAAAAAAUAUUUUAAAUAACAAUUAAUAGCUAUCACAUACCACUAAAUUUGAUUUUUCUUAUUAGUGUAACUUGUUUGGGUUGAACAUUAAAAAGAUGUAUAAACUCUAAUCUCAAUAUCAUUUUCUAAAAAUAUGAUAUAGUACGAGCAUAAUACAAUAUUAAUUAUGAAGGCUAAUUAAUUGGUCAAUGGUCAAAGAACUGCAUAUGUAAAUCGUGCGCUCUAAUUGUUGUUGGGUACUGUUUAUUGUAUACUAAUCAUUCUUGUUUAUUGAUAAUCAUCAACAAAACCUAGGGAAAGCUUCGUUUAUAAAUUAAUCAGCAGCAAAGAUCAUCAUGAACGUCAAGCAUAUACAAGUUUCAUUCAAUAGAAACACAAUUAAGCAUAGGAUUAAUCACUUGUGAGCAAGGACGCUGCUGUUUGUUUUUCUUUUUCUCUGUAUUUUCCUUCUGCCUUUCUUUUGCAAUCUACCUUUUUUUAUCAUGGUGGUAGGUCAUAAGUGGGUAUGAGUUGUGUCGGGGUUUGAGUUUUUGAAGAGAGCUAAACGGACACUGCAAAGGAAGGAAAAAAUACCCUUCUUUCCUCCUUGCACGUCAAGAAAGAAAAACACCUAGUUUAAUAUCAUUUUGAGUUUUUUUCAUAAUAAUACAUGAAACAAAUUAUUUUGAACAAAACACGUUGUUUGAUUUAAAAAAAAUGACGUUAAAAUGUGUUAAUUUUCAAAUCAAUCUUAAUUUUUUAUUUGUUAAUCAAGUCUUAAUUAAAUUUUAAUUUUAAAAAUCAACUCAAUUGUAUCCCUGCUAAAAUCAGAUGUCAGUCCUAAAGGUGGCCGUCCUUUUCACUUUGGUAUUUGAUCUUGGAUAUUUAGCAAAUAUUUAAUGAUAUUUGGAAAUAAGAUUUUUAUUUUUUAAAUAUUUAAUUUAAUUUAAUUACCAUAAUAAAAAAAUAAGAUGACAUUUAACAAAUAAGACCUCCAAAAUAAUUUGUAACGGAAAAUCUUUUAAUUCUACAAGCACGGCUAUUACUGUGCAAGCUGUGAUCAUUCUAGCGGCGUGGAAGCCUAAAUUAAAUAACUAUAAUAAAUAUAUAAUAAUUAAUAGCAAGGUUUAGCAACAGAAUGCUCAAACUUUGAGUUUAUAUAUAUAUAGAAAAAGGCCAACAAGUCUUUUUUACUAUAUAAUUAUAAGAAAUUAGAGCUGUUAGAACUCAACAUUCAUCGAAGAAAGCUGGCUUUGCUCUGUUUACUUGGGUUGAGUGUUGAAAUCACACUGAUAAGCGGUUAGUUAACUCCAUUUUUAUAAUGUUGAUAUCAGGCUGCGGAGAUCGCUUGCCGUCCGCCGAGAGUUUGGGACCAGUAGCUAUACUAAUCUCUUUCUGGGUGGUUUUCCCUUGACCGCAUUUGUUUUUUUUUUUUUUUUUUUUGGCGUGGAAUAGAAGGGGCAAUACUUGAGCCCAUCCAGGGAGGGACGCACCUGUCAUGUUAGCAAAAAACAUAAUAAUAAUAAAUACCCCUCCUCCAAUAAUAUUAUUUAUGCAAUAGUUUUUUUUUUAAUUUUAAGUUUAUCAUUAUUUAACCUUAAAUUUAUUAAAAAAUAAUUUUUUUUUAAUUUUUAAUUUAUUUUUUAUGAGAUUAUUCUAGAUCAAUUCCUCACUCUCUAAUUUAAAAAAAUUAUUUAUUUACAUAAUCAAGUGGUAUGUUUUUUUUGAAUUGUUUUGAUUGGUUAAUAAUAAAAAUAAAUAAAUAAAUAUUAUUUUAAUUUAUUUUUAAAAAAUAUACUUUAUAAAAACAAUCUUUAUUACCAUAUCAAGUAUUGAUAAAAUGGAUUACUAUUUUUAAUUUUUUCUUAUUCUGUUUUUUAUGGUGCUGUUGCUGUUCAAAAAAAAAUAAAAAAAGUAUCAAAAUAAUAAGAGUGAGAGUGUGAGACUACUCGACCAAUUAAAAUGAAUAUCUUUUCAACGAAAAUGAUUACCACUUUUAAUUUUUUCUUAUUCUCUUUCUUCAUGAUGAUGAUUAACAAUUUUUCUAACCGGACCGGAGAAAUAUAAGUUGUCUGGAUGUGGGAAAACCGAUGCUAUUAAAAUAAAAUAAAAUUAAAUAAUGCUUAAUAUAUUGAUACUGAUGGAAUAUUCAUGCCUGCAACAGCAGUUAAUUCUCUAAAGCAAAGAAAAUGAGGUGAACUCCCUUUUUCUAUGAAAUUAUGUGUUUAUCAAUCUUUUAUGGCUUAAUCUAAUCCAGUUCUUGGUAUUGUUAUAUAAUCUGAUUUUUAAAAAUAUUUUUUAUUUGAAAAUAUAUUAAAAUUAUUAUUUUAUAUAUAUUUUUAACAUUAAUUUAUCAAAAUUAUUGAAAAAAAAACUUUAAUUUAAUAACGAAAGUAAUAUUUUUCACUGAAAAUAAAUGUCCUUUCUAUGGAGCCCACAAAUUGAAAACGUCUUCACUGUUCACUACCGACGGAAACGGAAACCUCUUUUGCAUGGGUUUCACUUUUCAGCACCAACAUUAAUGGUUUCCCACCAGCAAUCAGUAAUCCAGGAUCACUUUUCCAUCGACAAACAAUAAUUCAGGACCACGUUUCGUUCGUAGCAAAUAAGUUAAAAGUUUGUGACUGCUUUUUUUUAUUAUUAUUAAUACAACACACAUUCAAUUAAUUAAGAUGUUAUUCGAAAUAAAAUAUUGUUAAAAAAAUGUCCUACAUUCUUGAGUUCUGCCUGUAGAUUGAUUCAACCAUUUCUGUUGGAAUAGCUUUUAUUUUUUUAAUUUUAAGAUAUAUCAUUAAUAUUUUUUAUAUGUGUAAUUUUGAUAUAUUAAUAUUAAAAAAAAACUUUGAAAAAACUAUUUUUUUUUGGUGGAUGAGAGUCAAUGAUGUGUUUGAAAAGUAAUGAAUGAGAGCAACAUUUACCAAACUUCGAAGACAUGACAUGAAGGACAACGCAAUUUCAAAAUGUAUUUCUUGACUAAUAUAAAAACAAGUUAAUUUAAGAAUAGGCCGAUAUAGAGUUUAAAUAGAUUCCUGUUAAAAAAAAUAGAAAAGGGAUACUCUAGAAAUUCCAGGUGUUUAUGAAUUAAUUAGUGAUAUUUUAUUAAUUAUUUUUUUAGUGUUUUUUUAAAUAGAUAUAAAUAAUAGAGAAAAAUUCUAGAUGAAUAUAUUUUUUAUCACUUUUGAUAAGUUAUGAGUUUCAUUUUGUUUUUCUUCUUUGUAUCUGUAUUUUUUUUUUAUACGGAUCUGAAAAAUAAUUAAUAGGAUAUUUUUAGUUAUUUAUUGAAUAUUAUGAAUUUUCUAUAAAUAGCUUGAACUAACCUGAUAAAAAAAAUCUGAUUUGAUUUUGAGUAAAUCGAUAAAAAAUCAGUUUUUAAUCUUUUGAUUUUUUUUUCAAAAUAAAACUAUUUUUUUAAAAUGAUCAACCAUUAUUCAUAUUCAUCAUCCGUCACCCACCAUUGAUUUAAUUGGCACUCUCCUACAAUCACAGCCUCAAUACUAGCUAGCAAUACUCAUCUGCAACAAAAUGCGGUGAUUGUAAAGAGAAACUAGUGUUUUUCUUAGUUCUACCUGUCCUUCAAAUUCGGGACUUUAUAUACAAUGUUCACCAACUAAAUUGAAUUGCUCAACCAUUACUCUAUCUGUUCAUUUGCAUGCCCACAGGUUCAUUACCAUAAUUACAAGAUUAUCAUGGGAUGUUUUCAAACUCGAUCGUUGAAGAUAGUCAUGGGAUAUAUGUUACCUUACUUGUGUUGCUUGUAAAUUGUAAUUUUAUGUUUUAGGCAUUAGCCCCGUUGUUCAUGAUAAAAAACAAAAAGAAAAAGAAAGAAAGAGUGGCGAUGGGUAGUAUAGAAUCCAGGAAGCAACCAGACACAAAGAAUCCAGGAAGCAAACAGACACAAAGAAUCCAGGAAGCAUCCAAACCGAUCGUUUUUCGAACUUUUGACGAACUAGAUACAAAACUAAUAUUACAAAGAAUAUUAAGUACUGUAGAGUCAAUCAAAACUGACGAUGUACUUUUUUUCUGUUUAAAAGCGCACCUAGUCUGUAAAUGGAAAGUCAAAUUCAUUAACUCACAAUUUUUUAUUAAUAUUAUUAUACAUCUACAAUCGUUUUUUUUUUUGUUUAAUUCAGUUUUCAUCUGCACAAUUCUCUGCAAUUUGUUCUUGUAUUAUACAGUUAAGUUGCUUUUUUGUCCACUAUAAUGCUUUUCUAAUCUUAUUAAAGAAGAAUAUCCAGAAAUCUUUCAUAGACAACCAGAAAUCAAGGAAUGAAAUGCAGUUGCACAAGUAACUAAUCUUCAUUAUUCAAUCAGUAUAAGUUGUUGGUUACCCGAUGUAUUGGGUUCCUGAGUGUUUUCCAAAGAUUUUCAAACAUGUCUUAACAACUGAUCAUUUCCAUGAUCGGAAAAAGAGAAUAAUAAUCACCCAUUCCCAAACUCAUACAAAAUUGCAAAUAGAUGUGUCAGCCAACUAACAGUCUCUAUAGAUCUAUCUACUACUAAAAACUUUGAAUGUAGCUCCUUAUAAAUGCUAUAUAUAUCUGCAUCCUUUCAUUCCAUGCUCGGCACUCAUUCCCAAAACUCAUUAAGUCCUCUCCAGUACAUCAAUCUCUACUGUCUCUUUGCCUGUCAAAACAAAAAUGCUUUCCAAGUCUCUUGGCCAUCUCUUCCUUGUUUCUUUCCCAGCCCAGGGCCAUGUAAAUCCUUUACAUAGACUUGGAAAAAUUCUUGCCUCCAAAGGCUUCCUUGUCACCUUCUCCACCACUGAAACCUUUGGCAAACAGAUGAGAAAAGCCAGUAGCGCCAUAGAUAAGCUGACCCCGUUUGGUGAUGGCUUUAUCCGGUUUGAAUUCUUUAAAGAUGGAUGGGAAGAGGACGAAGAUAGGUACAAAAACCUUGAUCAAUACUUACUUCAACUUGAGCUUGUUGGUAAACAAGUAAUUCCUCAAAUGAUCAAGAAAAAUGCAGAGCAAGGGCGGCCUGUUUGUUGCCUCAUAAACAACCCUUUCAUUCCUUGGGUUACAGAUGUGGCCACAAGUCUGGGUCUCCCUUCUGCAAUGCUUUGGGUUCAAUCCUGCGCUUGUUUUGCCUCAUAUUACCAUUACUAUCACGGUACUGUACCUUUCCCUGAUGAGGAGCACCCCGAGAUAGAUGUCCAAUUACCAUGCAUGCCUCUCCUAAAACAUGAUGAGGUGCCUGGUUUCGUAAAUCCUACAACUCCUUAUCCUAUCUUGAGGAGGGUUUUUUUAGGCAGUACAAAAAUCUUGACAAGCUAUUUUGCAUCCUGAUGGAAACAUUCGAAGAGCUUGAACCAGAUCUUAUCAAGCACAUGUCCGAAAUCUUCCCCAUCAAGGCCGUUGGGCCACUAUUGAGAAAUCCCAAGGCACCAGAGACAACGGUCCAUGGAGACUUGCUGAAGGCAGAUGAUUGCAUCGAAUGGCUUGAGACAAAGCCACCUUCAUCAGUUGUUUAUGUGUCUUUCGGUAGUGUCGUGCAAUUGAAGCAAGACCAAUGGAACGAGAUCGCUUAUGGGUUAUUGAAUUCGGGCGUCAACUUCUUGUUAGUUAUGAAACCACCCCAAAGAUGCAGGACAUGACCUCCCUGUUCUGCCAGAUGGGUUCUCGAAGAAAGCAGGAGACAGGGGCAGGGUGGUGCAAUGGAGUCCUCAAGAGAAGGUUUUAGCUCACCCAUCAGUUGCGUGCUUUGUAACACAUUGUGGGUGGAACUCUACCAUGGAAGCACUCACAUCAGGCAUGCCAGUGGUGGCUUUCCCUCAAUGGGGUGAUCAAGUAACUAAUGCAAAAUAUCUGGUCGACAUCUUUAAGGUUGGUGUGAGAAUGAGCCGCGGAGAAGCAGAGAACAAACUGAUUACUCGUGAUGAGAUAGAGAAAUGCUUGUUGGAGGCCACAGCGGGACCUAAGGCAGUGGAAAUGAAGGAGAAUGCAAUGAAAUGGAAGGAGGCAGCCGAGGCAGCAGUGGCUGAGGGCGGUUCCUCCGACUGGAAUAUACGAUAUUUUACUGACGAUAUUGUAAAAGCGAAUGAGUCUGUGAAUGCAGGGAAGUGUAUUGGUUCUAACAAGAAAGUGGUUGAACUGGCGGGGUCAUCGGCAUGAGGAGAUUUGCUUUAUAUGCAGUGAAUAUGGAACUGGUUUAAUCCAGUGUUAGUAUGAUGAAAUUACUCUUGUUAUGUACUUGUCUACUUUUUACUUCUUUUAAUUAGCUAUUAAUAAUAUACAGUAAAGGCCAAAUGCCAUAUAAAGGCCAUAUGUAUGGUUGUUAUCGAAUUUCUGUACUCUCCUAUUUAUAAUUUGCUAAAAUCUUAUUGGUUUGAAUUGCUUGUGAUGGCUGUUGAAAAUUAAAAUUGUUGUAAUAUUUUUAGUUUUUAUGAUAUUCAUGAUUGUCUUAUGAUUUGGGUAUAUAUAAAUUUAGGAUGUUUUUAAUGUCGAGUAGCAAUCAAAACUCAAAGAAAUACAAAGGUAUAUGUUUAUUUUUUAAAAUAGUAAAAAUGUAUUUGAUAUUGGGGUAGUUGUUAUCGUUAUGAUUUAAAAAAAAGUUAUUUUAUAAAAAAUAUUUUUAGUUGAAGUUAUUUUUAAAAAAUAAUUAUUUGGUUAAAAUUGUGGUUAAAAUUAAGAUUAGAAAGAAAAUAAUUUAAUAUGUUUGGUUAAAAAUAUUUUUAAAAUUAAAAUUAUAAAAUAAUUUAAGAAUAUUUAUAUUAAUAUUGACGGAAACCUCUUUUGCAUGUGUUUCACUUUUCAGCACCAACAUUAAUGGUUUCGGACCUCGUUUCCAUUAUUGAUGCGCUGAAUAGUGUACGAGGAUAGUGCAUGGCCCACCUCCCUUUCUGCCACUAAAGACAUUGAUCCCAGGUUUUUGGAUGUUAUAUAUAUAUAUAUAUAUAUUAGAAUCAUCUUAUACAAAUGAUAUUUAAAUAUUUAUUCACUUAUAUUAUUGUUUUUAAGAAAAUUAAAGUUUUUUUUAUAAAUAUUAUUAAUUAUUUUAUGAUUAAUUAUAUAUUAUUUUAAUAGGUGGAUUUUUAAAUAUAAUAUACUUAUUAAUAUUAAUUAAAAAUAAAAUGUCUUAUCUUGUGGUUCUAGCUUAUGUAAAAAUGAGAUUUAUUUUUUGUUUUGAGAAUUGUAUCCAUAUUUGUUUUACAUGUUUUCAAAGAUGCAGAGUUGUAGUUAUUUUUUAAAGUAUUUUUUAUUUAAAAUAUAUUAAAAUAUUUUUUUUAUUUUUAAAAUUUAUUGUUGAUAUCACCAUAUUAAAAAAUACACAAAACAUUUAAACAAAACAAAAAGACAAUGGCGUGUCAUUUUUAUCAAUGAAAUUAUUGACAGAAUUUAUUCCAUCAAUAAAAUCCGUUGGUAAAAUGUUAACAUUGUUCAUCAUAUCAAUUAUAGACAGAAUCACCAACGAAAAUGCCGUUGGUAUUUUUCAGAGAGCUCUGGAACUGUUCACUCUCAAAUUACACUGUUAAUUACUGUUUUUUAAUAACAAAAUCACCGAUGGAUUAAAAGGUCGUCAGUGUUAUUUGGCGGGUUUUUAAAAAAUUUAAAUUAAAUAUUACAGAUAAAAUCACCGAUUGUGAUAUUUGGUGGUUUCUAAAAUUUUUUGAUUAAAAAUAUUAAUAUUUAAUUAUCCAUCGGUCAAAUUGUCGAUAAAACACCCAAAUAAAAAGUGUAAAAUUCCUAAUUUCACAACAAACAAGGCUCUUUUUUUUUCUUCUUCUUUUCCAUGUGUAAAAAACAUUAAUAUCCAUUUUUUUUCUCUUCUCUUCUCACCUUUACUCGGCUCCUUCUCUUCUCUUCCAUGCUCAUGUAUUUUUCUUUUUUUUUUCUUCUUAGUUUUUUUUUUAAUUAAUAUACUUUAUGAUUUUUUUUUCUCUUAUUAGCUUCACCUGCAACCACAUUAAGAUAAAUUUUUUUUGUCAUGUUUUUGUUUUCACUAUAUUUGUUUUUUUUCCUUAAUAAUUGUAUGAAUGUUGUUGUAGGAUUUUUUUUUCCCAAAUGAGAUCAAUUUUUAGUUGAUUUAUUUAUAGGAUUUUUAAAUUUUUAGCAAUUGCAACUUUAUUUUUUUCAUAUGAAUUUUUUUAGUUGAUUUUUUUUCUUGUUAUUUAUUUGUUGCAAAUUUGUUUGAGUUGAUUUUUUUCAUUUUUUUUUCAAGUGUUUUGAGUAUUAUAGAGUGUUGAUUUAUAUUAAUUUAAUUAUUUUAUAGUUUUGUAAAACAGAUUUUUUAAAAUAUUUUUAAAUAAUUACCGACAAAAUUACAUACGGACCUACCAAGAAAAAAACCAAUGGAAUGAAGCGAAUAUAUUUUUUUUGCAUGCUUUUUUCUAUCGGUAAAUUUAUUGGUAAAAUAAUUUUUUUAUUAUUAAUGGACUUAUCGACAAACAAAAAAUUACCAAUAAAUGAUUCAUCGACAGAACAUUUUCGUCGAUAAUUUCAUUGGUAAAUUAAUUACCAAUGAAAUGAUAGUGUAAAUACUGUCAGAAAAUUCCGUCGGUAAAUAUAAAAAUUAUGUUAGUGAUAAAUCAAUACAUCAAUUGCUAUGUAGAUGAUUGUGUAAUGUUAAUAACAUUAUAUCAACACAAUGACAUGAUAUAUCUAUUGAUAUAAUAAUAUGUUAGUUGUGACAUCCAUAAAUAUGUUGACAUAGAUAUGUUCAUCAUAACACAGAAGCUUGCCCUAAAUUACACGAUGUUAUUUGGUGAUGGCUGGGGUUGAAGGCUCGAUUUGAAGACUUUUUUUUUUUUUUUAAUCUUUUCAUUGAUUUUUUUUUUAUCAAUGAUGAAUUAACAAAAUAAAAUUUAAACUCAAUAACUCAUAUUUAACUUUCACCACCGUGAAUAAUUGUGGUAAAAAGUUAAAUGUUCAUACACAUAUAAUGGCAGGUGAAAAUGACUGGAGAAAAGGAAGGUGGCUUGUAAGGGUAUUUUUAAUGAGAGACUCAAAAGCAUAGUUUUAAGACCCGGUCCGGUGGUCGGCCCGGUCCAAAGCUCGGGUUCCGGGUUUUGACCGGGUCAAAAUUUAUUUUUUAUUUUUUUAAAAAAAAACAAAACGACGUCGUUAUAGUAAAAAAAAACAAACAAAAAUAAAAGUCAACGGGUUUGAGGCCGGGUCUUGCCGGGUUAACCGGGUCUGGCCGGGCCAAUUCCCAAGCGGGUUUUGGCCUCCAUCCGGACCGGUCCUAUGCCCGGAUCGACCGGGUCCCGGGUCGACUCACCGGACCGGACCGGGUUUUAAAACUAUGCUUAAAAGUAAGUUUUUAGCUUUUCAUUUUUAUUUUAUGGCUUCAAUGAAAGAGCUAAAUAAAAAGUUACUUUAACGUUGAAGAAAAGGAAGCCUUCCAUUUCUAUCAAAAACAUUAAAAUAUAUAUUAUUCAAUAGGUUUUCUUAUUAAAAGUAUCAAUAUUAAAAUAUAAAUGAAUUGUUAAUUUAAUUUCUUUAUUAGAAUAUAUGUGUGUGUAUAUAAAUAAAAUUAUAUUCACAUUAUUAAAAAACCAUAUCAGUAACUUUUCUUCGAAAUUUUUUUUUUUUUUUUUUUAAAUGAUUUUAAGGCAUGCCGCUGAAGUAAGAGAAUCCAAUCAAAUGCAUUGUAACUUAAUGAGCUGUUUAGAAAUGCCAUAUAAAUUGUAUUUCAUGAAAAUUUAAAGAUUUGUUUUUUUUAAAAUUUUAUUAUUAUUUUGAUAUGUUUGCAUCAAAAUAAUUUUUUAAAAUAAAAAUAUUUUAAUAUACUUUUAAAUAAAAAAAUAUUUUAAUAAUAACAUCUAUUAUUCUUCAAAAACACACCGAUGCAAAGACAGCUGUUUUCGACGCGUUACUACUCUUACAUGGAUAUUAGUUACAAAUCACCCGACCCCACGAGCACAAAACACUAUUAGAUGAGCGCAGUUCACGUGCAAUAGCCAAGAGUUGACAAAAACCACAGGUGCCAGCAUUCUCUGGUUAUGGACAUCCAAUCCAAGGUUGUUUAAAUCAUUUCGGGUGUGAUUGGAAUAACUUUUAUUUUUGUCUUUUAUUGUAUUUUAAAGAUAUUUUUAAUUUUAAAAUAUAUCAUUAAUAUUUUUAUUUUUUUAAUUGAUGUUUUAAUAUAAAAAAUAAAAAAACUAUUUUUUUGAUGGAUGAGAGUGAAUGAUGUGUUUGAAAAGUAAAGAAUGAGAGGACAUUUACCAAACUUCGAAGACAUGACAUGAAGGCCAACGCAAUUUCAAAUUGUGUUACGUUAUUUAUUAUAAAAACAUGUUAAUUUAAGAAUAGGCCGGUAUAGAGUUUAAAUAGAUUCUUGUUAAAAAAAUAGAAAAGGAAUACUCUAGAAAUAAUUUCUAAGUGUUUAUGAAUUAAUUAGUGAUAUUUUAUUGGUUAUUUUUUAAGUGUAUUUUUAAAUAGAUAUAAGUAUGAAAGAGAAAUUCUAGAUGAAUAUAUUUUUUAUCACUUUUGGUAAGUUAUGAGUUUCAUUUUGUUUUUCUUCUUUGUAUUUGUAUUUUUUUAAUAUAGAUCUGAAAAAUAAUUAAUAGAAUGUCAUUAAUUACCAUAAUUUUUUCAUAAAUAAAUUGAUCUUACCUGAUAAAAAAAUCUAGAUUGAUUUUGAGUAAAUCAAAUAAAAACUCAGCUUCUAAUCUCUCGAUUUUUUUUAUCAAAAUAAAAAUAUAUUUUUUUAAAAUGAUCAACCAUUGUUGAUAUUCAUCAUCCAUCACCCUACAUUGAUUUAAUUGGCACUCUCCUAGAAUCACAACCUCAAUACUAGCAAAUCAUCUGCAACAAAAUGCGGUGAUUGUAAAGAGAAACUAGUGUUUUAAUUUCUUAGGACUACCUGUCCUUCAAAUUCGGAACUUUAUACAAUGUUCACCAACUAAAUUGAAUUGCUCUACCAUUGCUCUAUCUGUUCAUUUGCCUGCCCACAGAUUCAUCACCAUAAUUACAAGACUAUUAUGGGAUGUUUUCAAACUUAAUCGUUGAAGAUAUUCACGGGAUGCAUGUUACCUUGCUUGUGUUGAUUUUGAGUAAAUUAUGAGUUUCAUUUUGUCUUUUUUCGUUGUAUCUGUACUUUUUUUUAUUAUAGAUCUGAAAAUUAAAUAAUUAAUAGGAUGUCAUUGAUUAUUAUAUAUAUGAGUUUUAAAAAAUAACUUGAUCUGAAUUGAUAAAAAAUCUAAGUCAAUUUUAAGUAAAACGAAUUUUGACUUUUUUUUAAAUUAAAAUAACAUUAUUUUAAUUUUUUUAAAAUGAUCAACCAUUGUUGAUAUUCAUCAUACAUCACCCUCCAUUGAUUUGAUUGAUUUGAUUGGGCACUCUCCUACAAUCACAAACUCAAUACUAGCAAAUAUACCAUCUUCAACAAAACACGUUGAUUGUAAAGAGAAACUAGUGUUUUUCUUAGUACUAUCUGUCCUUCAAAUUCGGGACUUUAAACAAUGUUCACCAACUAAACUGAAUUGCUCUACCAUUACGUACUCUAUCUGUUCAUUUGCAUGCCCACAGAUUCAUUACCAUAAUUACAAGACUAUCAUGGGAUGUUUUCAAACUCGAUCGUUGAAGAUACUAGCUCAUGGGAUAUAUGUUACCUUGCUUGUGUUGCUUGUAAAUUGUAAUUUUAUGCGUUAGGCUGUAGCCCCGUCGUUCUUGAUAAAAAAAAAAGGUGUGGUGAUGGGUAUGUUUUCUUAUCCACCCAUCAAACCCAAAAAAAUUUCGUGGAGGUUAUAUGUUAAUUAAAAUUAAAUAAACUCUACUAACUAAAGAAAAAAAGGCCAUCCAAUUUCGUUUGCAAGGGAAUUGUUUUUUAUUAUGAAUUUGGUUUUGAUUAUAUAUAUAUAGUCAAAGUUAAUGUAUAUACUGCACAAAGGAGAUGCAUUAUUUACGAGAUCAGACGAAAAAUUGCAUACAAUUUACGUCUUCUGCAGCGUGAAGCAGACCUAGAACUAAUGGUCAAAACAGCUGGAAUAACUGGUAGCUGAUGAAGUGAUCACACCAUUUAACCGGUCUCGAGCUCUGCUUCAAAGGAUUGACUGACUUACAGAUUUGAAACUGGAAGCAUACAUUUUUUUCUGUCUCUGAAAUGAUUUCUUUUGUCUGCUUUUGUAGGCUUGUAAUUUACGUCUUCCUUUUCGCUCCUUGCUUCAAUGAAUUCAUUAGGCUUGCCCCCAAAAGAAAAGGAGGCGAUUCAGCUAGCGCAGGCCAUCUCAAUAACAAUCUUUAUUUAUGAUUAAUGGCAAUGGAGAUUUCUUUUUGAAUUGGUCGAGAGGGAAGGAAUUUAACUCGAAUUUCUUCAAGACCUUUAUCACAUGGUGAAACUCUUAUGGGGGCGUUUAAAAUGACGAUCAUAUUUAUGCCUUGGGAAUCUGAUCAAUUUUGUCUAUUGGAACCAAACAUUGUUUUAGAUGACUUGUAUUCACUGGUUUCUUUUCUUGAGUUGUUUUUUUUACCUUCUUUUUUGAGAUUUGUAUUUUUUUUUGGCUUUCAAUAUUUGAUUUAUAAGUUCAAUGAGGUUAUCAUGUUUUCCCGUCUAGAAUCAUGAUUUUUUUCAUAAUCAACAAAAAUUAAUUUAAUACACUGCUAUUUUAAUAUAUUUUUUUAAAAAACAACAUGCUGUUCAAUAUGUCAAUAUGUCAAUAUUUGAACGUAAGCAGAAACUGAAUAUCCUUCUUAACAUGGCGUGCUGGAAAGCAUAUGCUAGUGUAGAAUCCAGGAAGCUCUUUAUUAAUUCUCCCGAACCAUCAUUAAAGCAUCCCCAUCUUUCGCUUUUCGAACUUCUGACGAACUAGAUACAAAACUAAUAUUACAAUGAAUAUUAAUUACUGUAGGGUCAAUCAAAACUGACGAUGUACUUUUUUUUUCUUUUUAAGAGCGCACCGUGUCUGUAAAUGGAAAGUCAAAUUCAUUGACUCACAAUUUAUUAUUAUACAUAUACAAUCGUUUUUUUUUUGUUUAAUUCAGUUUUCAUCUGCAUAAUUUUCUCUGCAAUUUGUUCUUUUAUUAUACGGUUAAGUUGCUUUUUUGUCCAUUAUAAUGCUUUUCUAAUCUUAUUAAAGAAGAAUAACCAGAAAUCAUUCAUAGACAACCAGAAAUCAAGGAAUGAAAUGCACUUGCACAAGUAACUAAUCUUCAUCAUUCAAUCGGUACAAGUUGUUGGUUUACCCGAUGUAUUGGGUUUCUGAGUGUUUUCCAAAGAUUUUCAAACAUGUCUUAACUACUGAUCAUUUCCAUGAACGGAAAAAGAGAAUAGUAAUCGACAUGCAAAAUUGCAAAUAGAUGUGUUUCUCGCUUCUAUAAUCACAUUAUACAUUCUGCUCUAAUAUGACUGCAAAAUCAUUGAAAGCUAAAGUCAAUUAAUUAGCGUAAUCAAAUUUGAUUUCAUCUUCUGUUCAAAGAAGCAAAGGAAAGAGUUAUAAUGGAAAAAUUGUAUACAAAUGGCCGUCAGCCAACUAACAGUCUCUAUAGAUCUAUCUACUACUAAAAACUUUGAAUGUAGCUCCUUAUAAAGGCUAUAUAUAUCUGCAUCCUUUCAUUCCAUGCUCAUCACUCAUUCCCAAAACUCAUCAAGUCCUCUCCUGUACAUCAAUCUCUUCUGUCUCUUUGCCUGUCAAAACAAAGAUGGUUUCCAAGUCUCUUGGCCAUCUCUUCCUAGUUUCUUUCCCAGCCCAAGGCCAUGUAAAUCCUUUACUUAGACUUGGAAAAAUUCUUGCCUCCAAAGGCUUCCUUGUCACCUUCUCCACUACUGAAACCAUUGGCAAACAGAUGAGAAAAGCCAGUGGCGUCAUAGAUAAGCUGACCCCGUUCGGUGAUGGCUUUAUCCGGUUUGAAUUCUUUGAAGAUGGAUGGACAGAGGACGAGGAUAGGCACCAAGACCUUGAUCAAUACUUACUUCAACUUGAGCUUGUUGGUAAACAAGUAAUUCCUCAAAUGAUCAAGAAAAAUGCAGAGCAAGGGCGGCCUGUUUGUUGCCUCAUAAACAACCCUUUCAUUCCUUGGGUUACAGAUGUGGCCACAAGUCUAGGUCUCCCUUCUGCAAUGCUUUGGGUUCAAUCCUGCGCUUGUUUUGCCUCAUAUUACCAUUACUAUCACGGUACUGUACCUUUCCCUGAUGAGGAGCACCCCGAGAUAGAUGUCCAAUUACCAUGCAUGCCUCUCCUAAAACAUGAUGAAGUGCCUAGUUUCUUGCAUCCCACAACUCCUUAUCCUUUCUUGAGGAGGGCUAUUUUAGGCCAGUACAAAAAUCUUGAGAAACCAUUUUGCAUCCUGAUGGAAACAUUCCAAGAGCUUGAACCAGAGCUUAUCAAGCACAUGUCCGAAAUCUUCCCCAUCAAGGCCGUUGGGCCACUAUUCAGAAAUCCCAAGGCACCAAAGACAACGGUCCAUGGAGACUUGCUGAAGGCAGAUGAUUGCAUCGAAUGGCUUGACACAAAGCCACCUUCAUCCGUUGUUUAUGUGUCUUUCGGUAGUGUCGUACAAUUGAAGCAAGACCAAUGGAACGAGAUCGCUUAUGGGUUAUUGAAUUCGGGCGUCUCCUUCUUGUUAGCUAUGAAACCACCCCACAAAGAUGCAGGACAUGACCUCCUUGUUCUGCCAGAUGGGUUCUCGGAGAAAGCAGGAGACAGGGGCAAGGUGGUGCAAUGGAGUCCUCAAGAGAAGGUUUUAGCUCACCCGUCAGUUGCGUGCUUUGUAACUCAUUGUGGGUGGAACUCUACUAUGGAAGCACUCACAUCAGGCAUGCCAGUGGCGGCUUUCCCUCAAUGGGGUGAUCAAGUAACUAAUGCAAAAUAUUUGGUCGACAUCCUUAAGGUUGGUGUGAGAAUGAGCCGCGGAGAAGCAGAGAACAAACUGAUUACUCGUGAUGAGAUAGAGAAAUGCUUGUUGGAGGCCACAGCGGGACCUAAGGCAGUGGAAAUGAAGGAGAAUGCAAUGAAAUGGAAGGAGGCAGCGGAGGCAGCAGUGGCUGAGGGUGGUUCCUCCGACUGGAAUAUACGAUAUUUUACGGAAGAUAUUGUAAAAGCGAAUGAGUCUGAGAUUGCAGGGAAGUGCAAUGGUUCUAAUGAGUUUCCAGUGUCGGUAGUGGUGAAGUCCAUUGAGAAAGUGGCUGAACUGGUGGGGUCAUCGGCAUGAGGGGAUUUGCUUUAUAUGCAGUGAAUAUGGAACUGGUCUAAUCCACUGUUAGUAUGAUGAAAUUAGUCUUGUUAUGUACUUGUCUACUUUUUACUUCUUUUAAUUAGAUAUUAAUAAUAUACAGUAAAGGCCAAAUGCCAUAUGUAUGGUUGUUAUCGAAUUUCUGUACUUUCCUAUUUAUAAUUUGCUAAAAUCUUAUUCGUUUGAAUUGCUUGUAAUGGUUGUUGAAAAUUAAAAUUGUUGUAAUAUUUUUAGUUUUUAUUAUAUUUAUGAUUGUCUUAUGAUUUGAGUAUAAAUUUCAUUAUAUCUAGGAUUUUUAUAAUGUCGAGCAUUAUUCAAAACUCAAAGAAAUUAUUAGAACCGUAUGGGUUGAUAUUUUAAGAAAGUAAGUGAUAGAUUAUCAAGUGGGCGGAGGACAACAAAUUCUAAACUUUCUAGUUUUGAAAAUAUAGUGUCUCAAUGAUUUUUUCAGUCUUCAAGAAAGGAUCAUGCAUGGUUAAGAAUUUAACAUCACAACUCUUGAACGUGAUCUAGAAUUAUAUUGGCAAAUAUUUGAAUUUUUAGUUAAUAAUUCUGACAAUAUUCAAAGAGUAUAUAUACAUUGAUCUUGGCCCAUAUGUACAUCUUAGUCAUGCAGAUGGAGCACAAUAUCGAAGGUUUCAAUAUAAGCCAUUUAAGCAUAUUUUUGGCUUGAGUAUUCUGUUGCCAAAGAUAUGACAUUUUGUUUUCCUUGCUUUCAUUUUAAUAAUGAAUAACAUAAAAGAGAGACUCAUCAUUCCAAUACAUAUAGCACGUCUAUAAGGAAUCGAGGGUUUCGGGCUCCUCGAUAGUUGCUCCCAGUAUAAUGAUCAGUCACCUGCUAGAAAGAAAAAUAUAUAGCUUUGAGCAAACGACAGUAAUUGUAGGACGCAAGUGAAGUGAAUUGGGUUGAUAUUGGGUUCGUUAUACAACAAAUAAUGCAAGGUAAGGGCGGUUUCUGCUAAGAAACGUGAACAGUGGAGGUUGCACGCAGAGAAGGAGAAGAGGAAAAUAAAGGAGGUGGAAACUGACCUGCAGUGGCGGUGCUGUUGUUGAUGGUGGGCGAAGAUGAGGACUGGCGGAGGACGCUGCUGGUUGUUUUUCCUCUUUCUCAGUAUUUUCCUUUUGCCUUUCUUCUCUUAUCUUUUCUCCUUCCCUCUGUUUUUCUGUUCUUCUUCUUUUGUUCUCUAGCGGUGGUAAUGCUACUGGUGGCGGCGUUGUGGCUGCUGGCGAUGGUUCCCGGCGAGGAAAGGUUCUUCUUCCUAACUAGGUGGCUGUGCAAUAGGGAGCUGUUGUGUGUGCCGGUCGACAGUUCUUUUUCUGUGUGUUUAUCCAGGAAGGUUCUUCUGAUGGGCUGCAUAUAUACUUGGGCCCAUCCAGGAAGGGACGUGCCUGUCAUUUUAGCAAAUAAACUGUACCCCUCCUCCUUAUUAUUUACUAGAUUUUUUUUUUUCAUCUUUUUUUAUUUUUUUUUAAUUUUAAUUUUAUUGUUUAAUAUUUUUUUUUAUUAAAGAUGAAGUUUUAUAAUUUAUAUAAUUUAUUUUUUAUAAAGUUAUGUAACAUGAACACAUAACUUUUUAAUUUAAAAAGAUCAUUUAUUGAUGUGAUUAUUUUUUAAUUUUAUUUAUAUAAUUAUUUUGAUGUGUUAAUAUUAAAAAUAAAUUUUAAAAUAUAUAAAAUAUAUAUAUUAUUUUAAUUUUUUUUUAAAAAAAUAACUUUUAUUACAAUGAUUGAGUACUAAUAAAGUGCAUCGAGAAUCUUAAAGUGGAUCGAAAUUUUUAAAAUAAGAUAUAACAAUCACAAUCACUUUUCAACGAUGAUGAUUACUCGUUUUAAUUUUUUCUUUUUUUUUUCUUCAUGAUGAACUUUUAAAACUUUUAUUUAUUUAUUUCUAUUUUUUUUUUUAGAUUUGAUACACGAUUACGAUUAACACUUUGAUUUGAGUUUUGUCAUUUUAUCUUUUUAGUUUUUUUAGAAUGCGUUUGGGAGUGUGGUUGUUAUUACUUUUUAAAUUAUUUUUUAUUUUAAAAAAUAUGUUAAUAAUUUUUUUUUAUUUUUUAAAAAUUAUUUUAAAAAUUAAUACAUUAAAAUAAUUUAAUAACAUCAAAAAUAUAUUAAUUUAAAAUAAAAAAAUUUAAAUUUUUUAAAAAUCACUUUUUAAUAACAAUUCCAAACCCCCUCUUAUCUUUUUAGUUUUUUUAAAGUGUGUUUGAGAAUGUAAUUGUUGUUAUUUUUAAAUUAUUUUUUAUUUUAAAAAAUAUAUUAAUAAUUUUUUUUAUUUUUUAAAAAUUAUUUUUAAGAUUAAUACAUCAAAAUAAUUUAAAAAUAUUAAAAAUAUAUUAAUUUAAAAUAAAAAAAAUUUAAAUUUUUUAAAAAACAAGCAAUUCCAAACCCCCUCUUAUCUGCAUACCCACAAUGCCAGGCGUCAUUGCCUGCGUCUAUACUUUGCUGAGUUGUCCUUCGUGAUUUUUCCAUAUACAGUGAUUUGUCCAUCGCCUGCCCUCCUUAACCUCAUCUCUCUUUCUCGCGCUCGUUGUGUGAACUGUGAAGUCAUAGAAGUCUUGAAGGAAAACAAAGAAGAAGAAAUUCAUGUGCUAAUGGCGGCACUCUCAUCUCAGGGUCACUUAAACCCCAUGCUUAGACUAGGUAAACGCUUAGUCAAUAAAGGUCUCCAUGUCACACUGGCCACCACUGAAUUCACCGGUCACCGCAUGCUCAAAUCUUCCACCAUCAACCCCACCUCCUCCCCCAUCUCAAUCUCUGGAGUCCAAGUUCGCUUCUUCUCUGAUGGUCAAAGCCUAAACUACGACCGCAUGGUUAAUUACGAAUCGUACAAGAAGAGUUUAGCCAAAUUUGGAACCAUCAAUCUCUCAAACCUUAUAAAGGAGCAUUUCCCCAGUAAUGGUCACAAAAAGCUCUCUUGCAUCAUCACCAACCCAUUUGUUACCUGGGUAGCUGAUGUUGCCAUCAAUCAUGGAAUUCCCUGUGCCAUGUUUUGGAUACAGCCAUGUUCACUUUAUGCCAUUUAUUAUCGCUUUUACAAUAAGCUAAACUCAUUUCCUACUUUAACAGAUCCUGAUAUGAGUGUUGAGUUGCCAGGCUUGCCACUGUUAUACAGAAGAUUUACCUUCCUUUGUUCUUCCUUCAAUUCCAUUUGGUAGCUUGCCUAAAAUGUUCCCAGAGAUGUUCCAGAACAUGAAGAGGUAUAAAUGGGUUCUUGGGAACUCAUUCUUUGGGCUUGAGAAAGAUGCUAUUGAAUCCAUGGCUGAUCUCUGCCCUAUUAGUCCCAUUGGCCCUCUAGUUCCUCCAUCACUUCUUGGUGAAGAUGAAGAUCACGAUACGGGUGUCGAGAUGUGGAAAGCAGAAGAUACUUGCAUUGAUUGGUUAAACAAGGAAGCCCCUUCUUCAGAUAUACGUAUCUUUUGGAAGCCUUGUUGUCUUAUCAGCAAAACAAAUGGAGUGCAUAGCAAAAGCCCUGAAGAACAGUAACAGUCCAUUUAUUUGGGUGGUUAAGCAACCAGACUUACCAGAACCUGAUGGUGCAGGACAAUUGCCAUUAGGGUUCUUGGAGGAGACGACAGACCAAGGGGUGGUUGUAUCAUGGUCUCCACAAACCAAAGUUUUAGCCCACCCAGCUAUUGCGUGUUUUAUAACUCACUGUGGAUGGAAUUCUGUGUUAGAAACAAUUGCUGCAGGCGUGCCGGUGAUUGCAUACCCCAAGUGGAGCGACCAGCCAACAAAUGCAAAACUUAUUGUUGAUGUUUUUCGCAUUGGUCUAAGGCUUAGAGCAAAUCAAGAUGGGAUUGUUAGCAACGAGGAAGUUGAAAGAUGUAUUAGAGAGAUCAUGGACGGACCAAAGUCUGUGGAGCUUAAAUCCAAUGCAAGGGAAUUGAGGAUCGCGGCAAGAGAGGCAGUUGCCGGUGGUGGUUCAUCGGACAAGAAUAUUCUGUUGUUUGUAGAUGAAAUUAUUGAGAGUUGUGGUUCAAUUGAAGUAUGCAAUGUAGAAUGCAAGGUUCCUCAUCAAUAUACACAAGGCAACGAAGGCCAAUAAUUGUGAUUGGAUAAUGCUAGGAUUACUGCGUUUUUUUAUUAAGUUUUGUUUAAUUACCUGUUAUUUAUUCCAAGGAAAGAAUUUCAAAUCAUGAAAUGUAGAUCAUAUCAUAUUUAAGACUAUGUUACUCUACUUUUAGCACUAACAAUGGUAAUUUUUCUAACCGGACUGAAGAAAUAUACGUGGUCUGGAUGUGCGAAAACCGAUGCUAUUAAAAUAAAAUAAAAUAAAAUAAUGCUCUAUAUAUUGAUAUUGAUGGAAUAUUCAUGCCUGCAACAGUAGUUCAUUGCAAUAUGCUUUUAAAAAAUAUAUUUUUAAAUUUUUAUCAUUAUAUUAUCAAAAUUAUUGAAAAACAUAAAAGGAAUUUUAAUUUAAUAUUUUUUUCAAAAUAAAUAUAUUUUUUAAACAUUCAAUAUCAAAAGCUGCUGCAAUUUCAAGUCCCAAACACCACCUUAAACUUAUGGACAAGAAAGUAAUUUUUUUAAAAUAUUUUUUUAUUUAAAAAUAUAUUGAAAUAAAAUAUUUUUUUAAAAUUUAUUUUUAAUACUAUUUAAAAAAUACAUAAAAAAUUAAUUUAAAAUAAAUAAAAAAAUAAAAUAAAUAUUAAAGUUAUUUAAUAAUAUUUUUAUCGCACAGGCAGGCCAACGUUUCGUUCGCAGCAAAUAAGUUAAUGGAUUGUGACAGCAUUUCAAUUCUUAUACCCAUAUAAGAUGUUCUUCAAAAUAGUAAGAAACGCGGUAAAAAAUGUGUAUUUAAGGGCUAAACGACACCUCUUGGGUUGUUCUCGUUUUAUAUUUGAUGGGUAAUAACCCUGCUAAACGCACCUCUGGGGUUGUUGGCCUGGGUUUUGGUAAGGGCUAGGUUCCCUUGCUGUUUUUUUCUUCUUCUUUUUAAUUCUUUUCUUUUUCUCGAAGCAUGGAACAAUAAAAAAAACAAUUUAGUUCAUAAAUAUUUUUAAAUUUUAUUCUCUCGUAUUUAAGAAUUAUUAUGUUGUGGCUUGCUAGGUAGGCUCAUCGUGCAACCAAAUUAAUCAAACCCAAAAAAAAGAAGAGAUUUUGAUCAUCAUCCCUCUCUGCUUUUUCUUAAGGAAAUAUAUUGAUUCUCCCUCUAAUCUAAACUAAUGGCAAGAAUUUCUAUAUCAAUGUGAGUUUCCAAUAAAUUAUUUUAGGUAUUUUCAAAAUUAUAAAAGUAUCUUUCAAUAGAAAAACAAAACAAUAUAUAUUCUAAACACAAAUAUAUGAUACAAAUAGCGUAUCGCUGAGUGGUGAGUGGUGAAUAUCCCUUCUUAGCAUGACGUGCUGGAAAGCAUAUACUAGCUAGUGCAGAAUCUUUCAUAGACAGCCAGAAGUCAAGGAAUGAAGUGCACUUGCACUAGUAACUAAUCUUCUUCAUUCAAUCGGAAUAACUUGUUGGUUACCCGAUGUCUUGGGUUUCUGAGUGUUUUUCAAAGAUUUUCAAACAUGUCUUAACUACGUACUGAUCAUUUCCAUGAUCGGAAAAAGAGAAUAGUAAUCGACAUGCAAAAUUGCAAAUAGAUGUGUUUCUCGCUUCUAUAUAUAAUCACAUUAUACAUUAUGCUCUAAUAUGACUGCACAAUCAUUGAAAGCUACAGUUAACUAUUAGCGUAAUCAAAUUUGAUUUCAUCUUCUGUUCCAAGAAGCCAAGGAAAGAGUUAUAAUUGAAACAUUGUAUGCAUUUGACCGUCAGCCAACUAACAGUCCAUCACUAAAAACUUUGAAUGCAACUCCUUAUAAAUGCUAAAUGUAUCUGCAUCCUGUCUUUCCAUGCUCACCACUCAUUCCCAAACUCAUCAAGUCCUCUACUGUUCAUCAAUCUCUUCCGUCUCUCUGCCUGUAAGAAAACCCCGGAAGAGAAAAAUGGUUUCCGAGUCUCUUGGCCAUCUCUUCCUUGUUUCUUUCCCAGCCCAAGGCCAUGUAAAUCCUUUACUUAGACUUGGAAAAAUUCUUGCCUCCAAAGGCUUCCUUGUCACCUUCUCCACUACUGAAACCAUUGGCAAACAGAUGAGAAAAGCCAGUGGCUUCAUAGAUAAGCUGACCCCGUUUGGUGAUGGCUUUAUCCGGUUUGAGUUCUUUGAAGAUGGAUGGACAGAGGACGAGGAUAGGCACCAAGACCUUGAUCAAUACUUACUUCAACUUGAGCUUGUUGGUAAACAAGUAAUUCCUCAAAUGAUCAAGAAAAAUGAAGAGCAAGGGCGGCCUGUUUGUUGCCUCAUAAACAACCCUUUCAUUCCUUGGGUUACAGAUGUGGCCACAAGUCUAGGUCUCCCUUCUGCAAUGCUUUGGGUUCAAUCCUGCGCUUGUUUUGCCUCAUAUUACCAUUUCUAUCACGGUACUGUACCUUUCCCUGAUGAGGAGCACCCCGAGAUAGAUGUCCAAUUACCAUGCAUGCCUCUCCUAAAACAUGAUGAAGUGCCUAGUUUCUUACAUCCUACAACUCCUUAUGCUAUCUUGAGGAGGGCUAUUUUAGGUCAGUACAAAAAUCUUGACAAGCCAUUUUGCAUCCUGAUGGAAACAUUCGAUGAGCUUGAACCAGAGCUUAUCAAGCACAUGUCCGAAAUCUUCCCCAUCAAGGCCGUUGGGCCACUAUUCAGAAAUCCCAAGGCACCACAGACAACGGUCCAUGGAGACUUGCUGAAGGCAGAUGACUGCAUCGAAUGGCUUGACACAAAGCCACCUUCAUCAGUUGUUUAUGUGUCUUUCGGUAGUGUCGUGCAAUUGAAGCAAGACCAAUGGAACGAGAUCGCUUAUGGGUUAUUGAAUUCGGGCGUCAACUUCUUGUUAGUUAUGAAACCAGCCCACAAAGAUGCAGGACAUGACCUCCUUGUUCUGCCAGAUGGGUUCUCGGAGAAAGCAGGAGACAGGGGCAAGGUGGUGCAAUGGAGUCCUCAAGAGAAGGUUUUAGCUCACCCGUCAGUUGCGUGCUUCGUAACACAUUGUGGGUGGAACUCUACUAUGGAAGCACUCACAUCAGGCAUGCCAGUGGCGGCUUUCCCUCAAUGGGGUGAUCAAGUAACUAAUGCAAAAUAUUUGGUCGACAUCCUUAAGGUUGGUGUGAGAAUGAGCCGCGGAGAAGCAGAGAACAAACUGAUUACUCGUGAUGAGAUAGAGAAAUGCUUGUUGGAGGCCACAGCGGGACCUAAGGCAAUGGAAAUGAAGGAGAAAGCAAUGAAAUGGAAGGAGGCAGCGGAGGCAGCAGUGGCUGAGGGUGGUUCCUCCGACUGGAAUAUACGAUAUUUUACGGACGAUAUUGUAAAAGCGAAUGAGUCUGAGAUUGCUGGGAAGUGCAUUGGUUCUAAUGAGUUUCCAGUGUCGGUAGUAGUGAAGUCCAACGAGAAAGUGGCUGAACUGGUGGGGUCAUCGGCAUGAGGAGAUUUGCUAUAUGUGCUGUGAACGUGGAACUGGUUUAAUCCAGUGCUGUUAGUAUGGUGAAAUUAAUUACUCUUGUUAUGUAGUUGUCUACUUUUUACUUCUUUUAAUUAGCUAUUAAUAACAUAUAGCCAAGUGCCAUAUAAAGGCCAUAUGUAUCAUUUUAAGGUAUUGUUGAGUUGUUGUUGUAGUGUAAUUUCAAAAGUAACAAUUGUACCUGAUUUCUUGUGUUUUUAAGGUAUCGAUCGACAAUGCCGCUGGUAUUGUGUUUGCUAAAAAAAAAUAUAUUUUUAAAGUUAUUUUUUCUAUAUUUUUAUAUGAUUUUGAUAUAAUAAUAUUAAUAAUAAAAUUUAAAAAAUAAAAAAUAAAUUAUUUUAAUAUAUUUUCAAGUAAAAAAUAUUUUGAAAAUCAACCAUUAUCACAUACCACUAAAUUUGAUUUUUUAUUAAAUUAAUUUUUUUAUAUUUUUGAAUUGUUUUGAUGUGCUGAUGUUAAAAAUAAAAUAUAUAUUAUUUUAAUGUAUUUCUGAACGAAAAACACUUUAAAAAACAACCACUAACACAAUAUUAAACAUUAGUGUAUUACAACAUAUACACCAUUUAUGCAUCUUUUUCUUCCUCACUAGUGUUUAAAUUAACAUUAUUAGCAAAGAAAAAAAAAUAGCAAACGAGCAUGUUUUUCAAAAUAAUUUAAUUCAUAAAAUAUUUUAAAUUUUAUUUUCUUGUAUUUAAGAAUUAUUAUGUUGCGGCUAUCUAGGUAGACUCAUCGUGCAACCAAAUUAAUCCAACCCAAAAUAAAGAGAGAUUUUGAUCAUUAUCUCUCUCUGUCUUUUCUUAAGGAAAUAUAUUGAUUCUCCCUCUAAUCUAGACUAAUGGCAAGAAUUUCUAUAUCAAUGUGAGUUUCCAAUAAAUUAUUUUAAGUAUUUUCAAAAUUAUAAAACAAUCUUUCAAUAGAAAAACAAAACAAUAUUCCAAACACAAAUAUAUAAUACAAAGUUUUCAUAUUGAGUAGCAUGAAAAAAAAUUCCAAUCUCAACCAAUCCUUAAUGUUUUGGAAUGCAUAAUUCACUGCUAUCAUUUAUUAACUUUAAUAUAAUUUAUUUAUAUAAAAAAAGUAUGAUUUUGUUUUCUAUAAAAAAAUAGUACUCUGCAAAUCACAAAUGACACACACAAGUUGAUCAGAACCAUUCACCAGCACAAAACACUAUUAGAUGUACACUAUUCACGUCUUCUGCAGAGUGAAGCAGACCUCGAACUCAUGUUCAAAACAGCUGUAAUAACUGGUAGCUGUUGAAGUGGCACCAUUUAACUGGUCUCUCGUUCUGCUUCAAAGGAUGGCCUCACUUACAGAUUUGAAACUGGAAGCCUGUCUUUUUUUUGGCUCUGAAAGGGAUUCUCUUGUCUGCUUUUGUAGGUCUGUAAUUUUUUGGGAGCUUCGGCUUCUCUCAUCAGGAUUCAAUUGGAUGUUGCUGGGAACUCCGAACAAUACAAAUAUCGUAUUGCUGAGUGGUGAAUAUCCCUUCUUAGCAUGACGUGCUGGAAAGCAUAUACUGGCUAGUGCAGAAUCUUUCAUAGACAAACCAGAAGUCAAGGAAUGAAGUGCACUCGCAAUAGUAACUAAUCUUCUUCAUUCAAUCGGUAUAACUUGUUGGUUACCCGAUGUCUUGGGUUUCUGAGUGUUGCAAAAUCAUUGAAAGCUACAGUUAACUAUUAGCGUAAUCAAAUUUGAUUUCAUCUUCUGUUCCAAGAAGCCAAGGAAAGAGUUAUAAUUGAAACAUUGUAUGCAUUUGACCGUCAGCCAACUAACAGUCCAUCACUAAAAACUUUGAAUGCAACUCCUUAUAAAUGCUAUAUGUAUCUGCAUCCUUUCUUUCCAUGCUCACCACUCCUUCCCAAACUCAUCAAGUCCUCUACUGUUCAUCAAUCUCUUCCGUCUCUCUGCCUGUAAGAAAACCCCGGAAGAGAAAAAUGGUUUCCGAGUCUCUUGGCCAUCUCUUCCUUGUUUCUUUCCCAGCCCAAGGCCAUGUAAAUCCUUUACUUAGACUUGGAAAAAUUCUUGCCUCCAAAGGCUUCCUUGUCACCUUCUCCACUGCAGAAACCACUGGCGAACAGAUGAGAAAAGCCAGUGGCAUCAUAGAUAAGCUGACCCCGUUUGGUGAUGGCUUUAUCCGGUUUGAAUUCUUUGUAGAUGGAUGGGAAGAGGACGAGCCUAGGCGCCAAGACCUUGAUCAAUACUUACCUCAACUUGAGCUUGUUGGUAAACAAGUAAUUCCUCAAAUGAUCAAGAAAAAUGAAGAGCAAGGGCGGCCUGUUUCUUGCCUCAUAAACAACCCUUUCAUUCCUUGGGUUACAGAUGUGGCUACAAGUCUAGGUCUCCCUUCUGCAAUGCUUUGGGUUCAAUCCUGCGCUUGUUUUGCCUCAUAUUACCAUUACUAUCACGGUACUGUACCUUUCCCUGAUGAGGAGCACCCCGAGAUAGAUGUCCAAUUACCAUGCAUGCCUCUCCUAAAACAUGAUGAAGUGCCUAGUUUCUUGCAUCCCACAACUCCUUAUCCUUUCUUGAGGAGGGCUAUUUUAGGUCAGUACAAAAAUCUUGACAAACCAUUUUGCAUCCUGAUGGAAACAUUCGAAGCGCUUGAACCAGAGCUUAUCAAGCACAUGUCCGAAAUCUUCCCCAUCAAGGCCGUUGGGCCACUAUUCAGAAAUCCCAAGGCACCACAGACAACGGUCCAUGGAGACUUGCUGAAGGCAGAUGAUUGCAUCGAAUGGCUUGACACAAAGCCACCUUCAUCAGUUGUUUAUGUGUCUUUCGGUAGUGUCGUCAAUUGAAGCAAGACCAAUGGAACGAGAUCGCUUAUGGGUUAUUGAAUUCGGGCGUCAACUUCUUGUUAGUUAUGAAACCAGCCCACAAAGAUGCAGGACAAGACCUCCUUGUUCUGCCAGAUGGGUUCUUGGAGAAAGCAGGAGACAGGGGCAAGGUGGUGCAAUGGAGUCCUCAAGAGAAGGUUUUAGCUCACCCAUCAGUUGCGUGCUUUGUAACUCAUUGUGGGUGGAACUCUACUAUGGAAGCACUCACAUCAGGCAUGCCAGUGGUGGCUUUCCCUCAAUGGGGUGAUCAAGUAACUAAUGCAAAAUAUUUGGUCGACAUCCUUAAGGUUGGUGUGAGAAUGAGCCGCGGAGAAGCGGAGAACAAACUGAUUACUCGUGAUGAGAUAGAGAAAUGCUUGUUGGAGGCCACAGCGGGACCUAAGGCAGUGGAAAUGAAGGAGAAAGCAAUGAAAUGGAAGGAGGCAGCGGAGGCAGCAGUGGCUGAGGGUGGUUCCUCCGACUGGAAUAUACGAUAUUUUACGGACGAUAUUGUAAAAGCGAAUGAGUCUGAGAUUGCUGGGAAGUGC
rnacentral:lncRNA from 1 species